GACGAACGCUGGCGGCGUGCUUAACACAUGCAAGUCGAACGGAAAGGUCCUGCUUUUGUGGGGUGCUCGAGUGGCGAACGGGUGAGUAACACGUGAGUAACCUGUCCCUGACUUUGGGAUAACUUCAGGAAACUGGGGCUAAUACCGGAUAGGAUCUCCUGCUGCAUGGUGGGGGUUGGUAAGUUUCGGCGGUUGGGGAUGGACUCGCGGCUUAUGAGCUUGUUGGUGGGGUAGUGGCUUACCAAGGCUUUGACGGGUAGCCGGCCUGAGAGGGUGAACGGCCACAUUGCGCCUGAGAUACGGCGCAGACUCCUACCGUACGCAGCAGUGGGGAGUCUUACACAGUAGGCGGGAGCCUGAUGCAACAACGCCGCGUGCGGGAUGACGUGCUUCGGGUUGUGAACCAAUUUCGCCUGUGCCGAAGCGUUAGUGACGGUAAUGGGUAAAGAAGCACCGGCUAACUACGUG
rnacentral:rRNA from 1 species